CGGCCAUGGGAGAUAUCCCAGCCGUGGGCCUGGGCACCUGGAAGGCCGCUCCGGGGAAAGUGACUGAGGCGGUGAAGGUGGCCAUUGACGCAGGCUACCGGCACUUUGACUGUGCUUACUUAUAUCACAACGAGCAUGAGGUUGGAGCAGGGAUCCGUUACAAGAUCCAGGAAGGUGUUGUGAGACGGGAGGAUCUGUUCAUUGCCAGUAAGCUGUGGUGCACCUGGCACACGAAGCCCUUGGUGAGAACAGCAUGCUGCAGGAGUCUGAAGUCCUUGAAGCUCAAAUAUUUGGACCUCUACCUCAUGCAUUGGCCCAUGGGUUUCAAGCCUCCUCAUCCAGCCUGGAUCAUGAUUCCCAGUAAGCUCCUUUCCUUCUGCUUCUCACAUCCUGGAGUAUACGACUUGCCUCUGGACUGCACUGACAUGGUCAUCCCCAGUGACACAGACUUCCUAGACACGUGGGAGGCCAUGGAAGACCUGGUGAGCACUGGACUGGUGAAGAACAUUGGGGUGUCAAACUUCAACCAUGAGCAGCUUGACAGGCUUCUCAAUAAGCCUGGGUUGAGGUUCAAACCAGUAACCAACCAGAUUGAGUGCCACCCAUACCUUAAUCAGAAGAAUCUGAUCAGUUUUUGUCAAUCCAGAGGUGUGUCUGUGACUGCUUACCGUCCUCUUGGUGGCUCGAGUGAGGGAGUUGACCUGAUGGACGAUCCUGUGAUCCAGAGGAUUGCCAAGGAGCACAACAAGUCUCCCGCUCAGAUUUUGAUCCGAUUUCAAAUCCAGAGGAAUGUAAUAGUGAUCCCCAAAUCUAUCACCCCAAGUCGGAUUAAAGAGAAUAUCCAGGUGUUUGAUUUUGAAUUAACACAGCACAAUAUGGAUAGCAUCCUCAGCCUAGACAGGAAUCUCCGACUGGCCACGUUCCCCAUGUAAAUAUGGCUCCUUAUUUUUAACUAGAGGGAAAACUAUACAGAUUGGAUAGUUGAUGCCUGAAUAGAACUAAAAAUCACAAAGACUAUCCUUUCCACACAGAAUACUGAGGACAACUUCCCCUUCCUUGUUUCUGCUCAGCCCAGAUGCACCGACACCGUUAGCAAUGUUGACCCUCCUCUGUUAAUGGCAGCUGUGCCUGGGACAGGAGCCACACAGUCAGAGGAGGGUGCAAGAGCCUCCUUCUCUGAGUAAUCUGGAGAACUGAGUGUGUUUUAAGUGAAGUCCAUGGGGUUUCUCCUAGACAGGCUGUGUGGCCUCUACUCUGAAAAAAGACACUAAUAACUCAUGAAUGAAAUUUGCCUUCACAUUUUAAGAAAACCUUAUCUUAUGAAAUUAUUUAAGCCAUCUAAGAGCUGAGGAAACAGUGUAAUCCAUCUCUGGCCCAUUGCCCACCUCCACCAAUUGUGCCCCAGGCCAGCCUGCAUCACCUUCACUUCUUUCUCUGCCCUGCCAAUGACACCCAGGUUAUUCUAAAGCAGAGUCCUUCCCUUUCCCCAGUGGGAAGGAAAAUGGGAUAAGUCUAGAGCACUGUUUCAGUUCAAUAGAGAGGCUUUUUUCUCCUUAAAA